AUUGAACGCUGGCGGCAUGCCUUACACAUGCAAGUCGAACGGCAGCACGGGAGCAAUCCUGGUGGCGAGUGGCGAACGGGGUGAGUAAUAUAUCGGAACGUGCCCGGUCGUGGGGGAUAACGUAGCGAAAGCUACGCUAAUACCGCAUACGAUCUACGGAUGAAAGCGGGGGGAUCGCAAGACCUCGCGCGAUUGGAGCGGCCGAUAUCAGAUUAGGUAGUUGGUGAGGUAAAGGCUCACCAAGCCGACGAUCUGUAGCUGGUCUGAGAGGACGA
rnacentral:rRNA from 1 species